rnacentral:rRNA from 1 species
AAAUUGAAGAGUUUGAUCAUGGCUCAGAUUGAACGCUGGCGGCAGGCCUAACACAUGCAAGUCGAACGGUAACAGGAAGAAGCUUGCUUCUUUGCUGACGAGUGGCGGACGGGUGAGUAAUGUCUGGGAAACUGCCUGAUGGAGGGGGAUAACUACUGGAAACGGUAGCUAAUACCGCAUAACGUCGCAAGACCAAAGAGGGGGACCUUCGGGCCUCUUGCCAUCGGAUGUGCCCAGAUGGGAUUAGCUAGUAGGUGGGGUAACGGCUCACCUAGGCGACGAUCCCUAGCUGGUCUGAGAGGAUGACCAGCCACACUGGAACUGAGACACGGUCCAGACUCCUACGGAGGCAGCAGUGGGGAAUAUUGCACAAUGGGCGCAAGCCUGAUGCAGCCAUGCCGCGUGUAUGAAGAAGGCCUUCGGGUUGUAAAGUACUUUCAGCGGGGAGGAAGGGAGUAAAGUUAAUACCUUUGCUCAUUGACGUUACCCGCAGAAGAAGCACCGGCUAACUCCGUGCCAGCAGCCGCGGUAAUACGGAGGGUGCAAGCGUUAAUCGGAAUUACUGGGCGUAAAGCGCACGCAGGCGGUUUGUUAAGUCAGAUGUGAAAUCCCGGCUCAACCCGGGAACUGCAUCUGAUACUGGCAAGCUUGAGUCUCGUAGAGGGGGGUAGAAUUCCAGGUGUAGCGGUGAAAUGCGUAGAGAUCUGGAGGAAUACCGGUGGCGAAGGCGGCCCCCUGGACGAAGACUGACGCUCAGGUGCGAAAGCGUGGGGAGCAAACAGGAUUAGAUACCCGGUAGUCCACGCCGUAAACGAUGUCGACUUGGAGGUUGUGCCCUUGAGGCGUGGCUUCCGGAGCUAACGCGUUAAGUCGACCGCCUGGGGAGUACGGCCGCAAGGUUAAAACUCAAAUGAAUUGACGGGGGCCCGCACAAGCGGUGGAGCAUGUGGUUUAAUUCGAUGCAACGCGAAGAACCUUACCUGGUCUUGACAUCCACAGAACUUUCCAGAGAUGGAUUGGUGCCUUCGGGAACUGUGAGACAGGUGCUGCAUGGCUGUCGUCAGCUCGUGUUGUGAAAUGUUGGGUUAAGUCCCGCAACGAGCGCAACCCUUAUCCUUUGUUGCCAGCGGUCCGGCCGGGAACUCAAAGGAGACUGCCAGUGAUAAACUGGAGGAAGGUGGGGAUGACGUCAAGUCAUCAUGGCCCUUACGACCAGGGCUACACACGUGCUACAAUGGCGCAUACAAAGAGAAGCGACCUCGCGAGAGCAAGCGGACCUCAUAAAGUGCGUCGUAGUCCGGAUUGGAGUCUGCAACUCGACUCCAUGAAGUCGGAAUCGCUAGUAAUCGUGGAUCAGAAUGCCACGGUGAAUACGUUCCCGGGCCUUGUACACACCGCCCGUCACACCAUGGGAGUGGGUUGCAAAAGAAGUAGGUAGCUUAACCUUCGGGAGGGCGCUUACCACUUUGUGAUUCAUGACUGGGGUGAAGUCGUAACAAGGUAACCGUAGGGGAACCUGCGGUUGGAUCACCUCCUUACCUUAAAGAA